ACCAAAAGUUUGACAAAUAUCAAGUUGCUCAAUGCGGACAAAUAACGACUGGAGGCCAAACGAAGACGAACAAAAGAUAACAACUCGAAAUAAGGAAUUUUUGUGCUUUACAGACACUUACUUUCGAACGCAGCAAGAGACAUUGACGGUCAGGCUUCGGCGGGCUUCGGGAUUCGACUUGCCAGCCAACUUGGUUUGGCAGCAAACGGUAUCACGUCGCAAUCCCAGAUAGUGACCAAGUUCGUUUCCAUUCAAGUCAGAUUUAAGAUCGAAUGGAACUUCUUGAUUGUUGCAUGGCUCGGUCUCAUUUCGGGCGGAAUGACUUUGAGAUUGCCCGGAGGUGGUGAUGGGGGGGAGGGGGAUAUUGCCGCCCACCGUGUUGCUCUAAUAGGAAACUUGAAUCCGCGGGACGACGAAAUUUAAAUGAUGCUGUGAAGAUAGAUUUUGAUAUUUCAAUCAAAAAUUUUGACAAUAAAUCCAGAAGCUCCUUCUCCUCCUCCACCAGAACUGAUUGUGGCAUCGACGGCGUUGAGGCUCCUGGCUGGAACUUUGUCGUGAUGGAUGGCGAGGUAUCGUGACAGAGCCACGACGUCACCGUCCUGGCACAAUUUCAAGAGGCUGUGAUCGACAAGCGACACGACGAAUUGAUUGAAAAUCGUUGCCGGAUGGCUGAACUGGUGGUGGUGGAUGACUGGUCCUGCUGGCCCGGCUGCUGGACUCAUCACAGCUUCUGACGGACUUUGACUGGGCGAAUUCAACUGGACGGGAAUAGAGUCGAUGGAUUUGUUGGGCUGGCCAAUCGAGUCUGACCGAAAGACCAGAGUUCCACGUCUA